GCCCUGUAAUUACUAAAUGUGUUUGUAGAAGUGCAGCUCUCCAGUGGAUAUAAAGGGCUAGAGCAAUUCUGUUCUUUAUGCAUGGGGACUGUUUCUCUUCAACAGCCUCCAUAGCCCAGUCACUGAUACAUGA
ensembl:snoRNA